UACGAAGGGGGCUAGCGUUGCUCGGAAUCACUGGGCGUAAAGGGUGCGUAGGCGGGUCUUUAAGUCAGGGGUGAAAUCCUGGAGCUCAACUCCAGAACUGCCUUUGAUACUGAAGAUCUUGAGUUCAGGAGAGGUGAGUGGAACUGCGAGUGUAGAGGUGAAAUUCGUAGAUAUUCGCAAGAACACCAGUGGCGAAGGCGGCUCACUGGCCCGAUACUGACGCUGAGGCACGAAAGCGUGGGGAGCAAACAGG
rnacentral:rRNA from 1 species